rnacentral:lncRNA from 1 species
UUAGUAAAAUUUAGCUUUGAGAAACGCGGUUUGUUUUCAAAAAUUCAACAUUUUGCUAAUAGAGUAAUUAUAAUUUAAAAUGAUUAAACGAUUCAAAAAAACAGAAAACCAAAAGUCCAAAACAAAAAUAAUCCCAAGAGUCCAAAAUAGUCCAACAGUAUCAAAAUAGAGUAAACAAAGUUUAAAGUAACACAAAUUAAAUGUGUUUAUCUGAGCUCCCGUCGCACCGACCCGUCCUAUGUCUAAGGAUUACCUGAGAAUCAAGCAAACAGAGAAUGAGCUUACAAGCAGUAUGUAACUUACUAUAAUUAAAAUAGUAGAUAAAAUUCAGAACAUGCAUUCAGAUACCAAUUAGACGAAUUUCAUAGACAGAAAUAGAAACAGAUGCAUAUCAGAUACAGAUACAGAUUAAUUUCCUACCCCCAUCUGCUACACACCAGCUCUGACCAUCCCUGCACACCAAUUAGGGUAUUAAAUACCCAAUUAGCCCUACACACCAAUUAGUGUCUGUAUGACACUUUUCAGAAUAUUUGUAGCCUAGCUACCAGAUCAAUAGGCGAUAUACUGCCAAAUAUGGAUAUACGUAGCUGAGCCACAAAAUUAGGCAGAUAAAUUAAACUAUCAGCAAUUCCUCCAUAAACAUAUUUCUCACCCCAAUGCAUAUGCAAAACUAGACAAUAUCACAUAUGUGCACGACAUGCAUGUUUUUCACAUCUGAUUAGAUCAUACCUAGCAUAUAACAGAACAUGCUAUCACAUAUAACAUACCACUCAUCCGUUUGCUAGUCAUAUUAAGCAAUAACAGAGUAUCAAAAAUCAUGGUUUAUAGGCAAUUUUAUACCAUAUGGGCCCUAUAGAAAGGUUAUAUUCGAUUCGCACGACAACCAGAACCCUAGGGAAAAUUUUCAGAAUUUAGGCCCACACGCCCGUGUGGCAUCGACAGUCUCAAUUUUGGCUUUCAGUCGUUCGCUAAUUUCUUGAGUUUUCGUUACACACUUCAUCUGAUUUUGAUUCGAUUGCAACCAUGAGAUUUCCAGAACCUAAAAAUAAUAAUUAAACCACCAAUUAAGACGAUUCCCACACCCAAUUCACAAAAAUUGAUAUAUCAAACAUCAAAUUUUAAACGAAGAAUUUCAACCUAAAACCCCAAUUUGACUCCUUAUCUUCAAGAAACAGCAGAACACCAAUGAUUCUAGGUUUCUGAAGAAUUAAUUGCCUUUCCAACUUCACCUAGAAAGUCAAACAAUUAAUCAUACAGAACAUAUUUAACCCACAACUAACAAAAAGAACAAUAAGAACAAACUCACUUAAUACAAGAGAAAACUUAAUGGCAGAUACACAAGUAAUUGAUUACGCUUAAUGGCAAUUGAUUUGCAGAAAGAAAAGGAAAAGAACAAAGUGUAGAACCGCACAAGAAAAAAAAGAAAAGAAACUAGCAAUUGGGAAAAAAUAAAAGUGGGAACUGAGGGAGAGGAAAGUGGAGAAUAAACAGAGGACACCUUACCACUAAACCAGCAGGCUCAUUUUAUCACAAGUUUAGUGGAAAUAGUAUUUAAGUCAAAUAAAAAGAGGUAGGGAUAGGACCUCAAACACACAUCCAAUGCAUUUAACCAUUGAACCAAAUCAAUUACUUAGACAAAAUUUAACAAAUCAAAACUUAGAUUUUGGGGGCAUUACAACACUUAUCAAGCAUUCCAUUUCAUAAUCAAUUCAAUGAAAUUCUAACAUGCCUCAUUUUCAUAAUAAUUUCUUAUGCAAUUUAACAUGUUACAAGAGGAAUUUUUCAAUACAUGUAUAACAAGCUCUCAACAGUACAUUCCAUGGCAUUUCACUUAAGCAUACAAUUCAACCAUUCAAUAGUUUUACUUUUGUAAUAUUAAUACAUGUUAUGCAUUCAACCAACAAUCAUUUUAUUUUCAAAUCAUCCAUGUUAUUUCAUACUGAUACCACUCGUAUAAAUAGUCAUUCAACCAUGCUAAUCUUGCACGAAUUCCAUUUAAUUAGGGCUUGAAAUGUACCUGAUUUAACCACCUUAAAAUUGUUUCCUUAGCCAUUUAAAAAGUCGUACCAACAAGGUUAAACAUCAAUUUAACCACUAAAAAUAUAAUUUAAACAGACAAGUUUACAGGUUAGAACACAAACCUUAAUUUCACAAAACCGCAGUACUACUUGUGAAAUCUACGCUUCCUUCACCAAACUUAAACGUACCUAAACCAAAAUCCAACUUUAAUAGAGUUAGGAUGUUGUCAAACCAGCCUUAAAACACCCUCUAAGGGUUUAGGCAAAUCAUUGUUACAAGGCCUUAAUUACAAAUCCAAAUCAGUUGAAUCAAUUACAAUGAUAUGGUGCGAAGCGAGAGCGUGGACGAAAAAUGGCUUCACUGCUGUUCUAGGAUGUUUAAAUCAAUGCCUAACACAUUAAAAUGCUAAAAAAUCAGUAGCUAAUCAUCCAUUUAAAACCUUAAAAUUAGUAGCUAAUCAAUAGUUGAUUAGGAUAGGAUAAAAUAGAUCUACCCUUGCCGGAAAAUACUCGAAAAAAUUGUGAAAAAUUAGCAGCUCUUAAUGGCAGAUCUAGGAGCAAAGCACCAGCAUAAUUGGCCACAUAGGGGCGGUUUUGCAAAACACCAAGGAGAUUUGUUUAAAAGCUGAUAAAGGAAUAUCUUUAGACUUGAAAAUUAGUAAAAAUAAAGGCUGAAAUAGUAGUGUAUUUUACUAAAUAAAUAACAUACUGUUGCUCAAUAAAAUGAAAAACUUUAGGGGUAACAACAACCACUGACGGUAGCAAUUUUUGGGAUAAUUUUGGCAAGUUCAAAAGGAAUGUUUUAGGGCUAGAAAUAAUUUUUUAAAAUUAGUAUAGAAAACAGAAAUUUUAAGAUAUGAUUUUGAAAACAAAACAAUAGGAAAAUGGUGUAGAAAAAUGAGAGAAUCAAGCACAUACUCUAGCAAGUUAAAGGGGCGAAAAUGGAGAUCUUUGUGGCAACAGUGGGAUCCAAUUUUUGAGUGGUUCAAGAGACUAAUUCAAGGUUGAAAAAAUAAUGAAAUAAAAUCGAAAGGGAGGAAGAAAAAUGACAAAAAUUAGCACCAGUGGAGAAGGGAAGGACGCCAAGGAAAAAUGAGUUUGGUGGGCGACACAAUGAAGGAGAAAAGAAGAAAAUUGAAAAAGGGAUAAAAGAGAAAAGGAAGGGGUGGCUAAGGUUGGAAAAAGGAUGACUAAAAGAUGAAAAAUAAAUGAAAAAGUGAUAUUUAUACCUAGAUUAACUAGGCAUGGGCAGCACAAAAAUAGGGGAAAGGAGGAAAAUUAGCAAAAGUAUGCUAUUUUGCAAGGGAAUAGAAUCAAACUUGAAUCCUU